rnacentral:rRNA from 1 species
UACGGAGGGUGCAAACGUUGCUCGGAAUCAUUGGGCGUAAAGCGCACGUAGGCGGUCCGUUAUGUCGGGUGUGAAAGCCCUCGGCUUAACCGAGGAAGUGCAUUCGAAACUGGCGGACUUGAGUACCGGAGAGGGUCGCGGAAUUCCCGGUGUAGAGGUGAAAUUCGUAGAUAUCGGGAGGAACACCAGUGGCGAAGGCGGCGACCUGGGCCAAUACUGACGCUGAGGUGCGAAAGCGUGGGGAGCAAACAGG